rnacentral:rRNA from 1 species
UACAGAGGGUGCAAGCGUUAAUCGGAAUUACUGGGCGUAAAGCGUGCGUAGCCGGUCAUGUAAGUCGGGUGUGAAAGCCCCGGGCUCAACCUGGGAAUUGCAUUCGAGACUGCAUGGCUAGGGUGCGGAAGAGGGAAGCGGAAUUCCCGGUGUAGUGGUGAAAUGCGUAGAGAUCGGGAGGAACACCUGUGGCGAAGGCGGCCCCCUGGGCCGGCCCUGACACUGAGACGCGAAGGCGUGGGGAGCGAACGGG